rnacentral:rRNA from 1 species
UACGGGGGGGGCAAGCGUUGUUCGGAAUUACUGGGCGUAAAGGGCGAGUAGGUGGCCAUCUAAGUCAGACGUGAAAUCCCCCGGCUUAACCUGGGAACUGCGUCUGAUACUGGACGGCUUGAGUAUGGGAGAGGGAUGUAGAAUUCCAGGUGUAGCGGUGAAAUGCGUAGAUAUCUGGAGGAAUACCGGUGGCGAAGGCGGCAGCCUGGACCAUUACUGACACUGAUCCGCGAAAGCUAGGGGAGCAAACGGG